rnacentral:rRNA from 1 species
GACAUCCAGAGAAUUUAGCAGAGAUGCUUUAGUGCCUUCGGGAACUCUGAGACAGGUGCUGCAUGGCUGUCGUCAGCUCGUGUUGUGAAAUGUUGGGUUAAGUCCGCAACGAGCGCAACCCUUAUCCUUUUGUUGCCAGCACGUAAUGGUGGGAACUCAAAGGAGACUGCCGGUGAUAAACCGGAGGAAGGUGGGGAUGACGUCAAGUCAUCAUGGCCCUUACGAGUAGGGCUACACACGUGCUACAAUGGCGUAUACAAAGAGAAGCGACCUCGCGAGAGCAAGCGGACCUCAUAAAGUGCGUCGUAGUCCGGAUUGGAGUCUGCAACUCGACUCCAUGAAGUCGGAAUCGCUAGUAAUCGUAAAUCAGAAUGUUACGGUGAAUACGUUCCCGGGCCUUGUACACACCGCCCGUCACACCAUGGGAGUGGGUUGCAAAAGAAGUAGAUAGCUUAACCUUCGGGAGGGCGUUUACCACUUUGUGAUUCAUGACUGGGGUGAAGUCGUAACAAGGUAAGCGUAGUGCU